rnacentral:rRNA from 1 species
UACGUAGGUGGCAAGCGUUGUCCGGAUUUACUGGGCGUAAAGAGCGCGCAGGCGGCUGGUCAAGUCCGAUGUGAAAUCUCCCGGCUUAACUGGGAAACUGCAUCGGAAACUGAUCGGCUUGAAGGUGGGAGAGGGUAGUGGAAUUCCCGGUGUAGUGGUGAAAUGCGUAGAUAUCGGGAGGAACACCAGUGGCGAAGGCGACUACCUGGCCCAACACUGACGCUGAGGUGCGAAAGCGUGGGUAGCAAACAGG